GAUGAACGCUGGCGGCGUGCUUAACACAUGCAAGUCGAACGGAAGGGCCCUGCUUUUGUUUGUUUGUCGUUUGGCGAACGGGUGAGUAACACGUGAGUAACCUGCCCCUGACUUUCUGAUAUCUUCAGGAAACUGGGGCGAAUAUCCGGUAUGAUCUUCUGCUGCAUGGUGUUGGUUAGUAAGUUUCGGCCGUUGGGGAUGGACUCGCUGGUUAUCCGCUUGUUGGUGGGGUAGGUGCAUACCAAGGCUUUGACGGGUAGGCUGCCUGAGAGGGUGACCGGCCACAAUGGGACUGCGAUACGGACCAGAAUCCUACGGGAGGCAGCAGUGGGGAAUAUUGCACAAUGGGCGGAAGUCUGAUGCAGCAACGCCGCGUGCGGGAUGCCGGCCUUCGGGUUGUAAACAGCUUUCGCCUGUGCCGAAGAGUGAGUGACGGUAAUGGGUCAAGAAGCAACGGCUAACUACGUG
rnacentral:rRNA from 1 species